CACGAUAAACGGCAAACCUAUCGAAAGGUAGGGACGCAAAGCUAAAGGGCCUUCCCG
rnacentral:ncRNA from 1 species